AUUGAACGCUGGCGGCAUGCCUUACACAUGCAAGUCGAACGGUAACGCGGGGCAACCUGGCGACGAGUGGCGAACGGGUGAGUAAUGCAUCGGAACGUGCCCAGUAGUGGGGGAUAGCCCGGCGAAAGCCGGAUUAAUACCGCAUACGACCUACGGGUGAAAGCGGGGGACCGUAAGGCCUCGCGCUAUUGGCGCGGCCGAUGUCAGAUUAGGUUGUUGGUGGGGUAAAAGCCGAACAAGCCGACGCUCUGUAGCUGGUCUGAGAGGACGACCCGCCACACUGGGACUGAGACACGGCCCAGACUCCUUCGGGAGGCAGCAGGUGGGAAUUUUGGACAAUGGGGGCAACCCUGAUCCAGCCAUGCCGCGUGCGGGAAGAAGGCCUUCGGGUUGUAAACCGCUUUUGUCAGGGAAGAAACGCUCUGGGCUAAUACCCCGGGGUAAUGACGGUACCUGAAGAAUAAGCACCGGCUAACUACGUGCCAGCCGCCGCAGUAAGAC
rnacentral:rRNA from 1 species